rnacentral:lncRNA from 1 species
GGGAAGUUCUCGUGUCUCCGGCAACGUUAAGUGCGUAAGUCGCUGGCAGAGCUUCGGUGCCUUCUGACUUCUGUUUGGCUUUCCCCAGGGUCUGGUUCCUUACUCCCCGCCAAAAACACCCUUCUGUGGGUUGCACUAGAAAGAAGUGGCAAGACUGACAAAUCAACGCACUGCCGUUUCAUGCAGGUGACCACUCCUUGCUGUUAUAUUAUUAACGGCUGCCCCUCCUCCAGAUCUCUGAAAUGCUUCCUGAUCUGGUCUCCUGAUACAACCUCAGGCCAAGUGGUUCUCAGAAGUCGGAGAGAGCAGUUUUUCUUCUUCCCCCCCCCCCCCCCCAGUAUAGCAUUUCCGAUAAUGAGCAAACAGUGCCGUGGGAUCGAGCAGUAACUGUAACCUUGAACACUUGCCCUAGGGACUUCAGUGUUCACUCCAACAACCCAAGCAAGGACUGCUAGAAAGUCUAGUGACAGAGGACUCCUUUAACUGGAGGCGAGAGUCAAACCAGAGUCCCUAAAAAGAACUGUAUACUAUAAGACACCAAUCUCUCAAGGCAUCAGCUUUUCAAAAGGACGAUGUUCAACUCAGAGGAAUAUGCCUUGUUCGACUUCUGGGCACUGUGACCAAGUGAAGAACCCCAGAUACCGUGGGGCUGGGGGGUGGGGGUGGGGAGUGAUGCCCUGUGGCGAGGGACGAACCAGGGAUUGCUUUCUGAGUUCUAAUAAGUGACACUAGGGAAGCAAUUGUCUUCUCAUGCUCAACAGUGGCCCACUGAACUUCCACACUGAGGAGAGCUCAUGUCGCUCAGGGGCUGAGGUGUGUUUAUAUGGGAUGGCAAGACGGGGCAACGGCUGGGGAGCAGGUGUAGGCAGGAGGGGCCUUCCCACACAGCCCCAACUGCUCUAGCCAUUUCCUGUCUGAGCCGCUAUCUUCCAGGGACUGAUGCUCUAGGGACUUUGGACAGCUGUGAAGGUGGCUAUCUCGGGUGCAUAUCAUGGAAUGAGGGUCCGCUUCUAGAAAGCCCAGGGCUACGAGGCAGAACUCCAGCAGAGGCUGUCUUCAGUGGAGAGAGAACUCACAGGAAAGCAGGGUAGGACUAUGCCGGGUACCACCCAGACCACCCUCUGGCCUGAGGAUGCCCUGUCAGCGCCAGCCAGAGCGCAGCCCUAGCCCACAGCGGUGCCGGCUGGCUGGACCCAGAAUGCGGUGCUUUUCCACAGAUUCCAGAAGACCACCUGAAUCACCAGUUUCUCCCUGUGCGGCUCACCCUGGGGGACAACCACGGCCACACCCUGCCCACCCUUUCUGUAUUUCCACUGGGACAGCUCUGCCAGCAGCGGGGACCUUUGGAAGGAGGUGGGGCGUGUCUCAGGUAUGUGACUUCCCUUUGGUUUGUUGGUUUAUUUCUACUGAAAGAGGCCAUGGUCUCCUGAGUGUCCUUCUCGGAGCCUCUCAGCAGGUGCAGGCCCAGAGAGAACAGCUGACUCCAUCUAGCAAACUCAACAUACCCUUCUAGACCCUGGGCCCCCUUUCUAAGGAGGCUACUCUGCUUAGACCCGCUGCGUGAUAAAAUCUGGAAGUCGGACAAGUAAGGAGGGACAAUGGUGGUGGGAACAGCACAGCAAUGCUCCCUCUCUGUACGUGGCCUUGUGCCAUCACACCCUGUAGCAUAAGCCAACGGAGCAAGGGCAAGUCACAUGCCCAGGGCCUGCCUCUACGCCUCCAAAGACUGUAUUCUCACCAUUGGCAUGGGUUCCAUCCCUGUGGUGGCAGAAAUCCAAAAAGGGUAAGGAAGGGCUUCCCAGGGUGGGUCACAGGUGAGAAGCUGCCACCUCCUACGGAGUCACAUCAAAUCCUCAUGAGGAACGACGAGACGGACUGUGAUCAGCCCCAUCUUACGGUGAAGAAACCGAGCGCCAGCCAGACAGCUUAAGAACAGUGGCCGAGGUCAUACCGUGAAGGAGGGUUAGAGCCAGGAUUUUAGUCCUCAACGUACAAAGUACCGUGUCUGGCUCAGAACAGUCACUCGCUAAAAAGAUCUGAAAACAAAACAAAACAAAACAAACCUGCAGACAUGGAAAUAACCAUGCCAUCACCAGCAGAGCCUUGUCCUGAGCCCAGGAGGGCCUGGGCUGCUCGACGGGAUCAUCGGCCCGAGGAGUCCGAGUGCUGGGGCUGCCCUCUCCUCCCUGGGAACACCACCUCGCCUUUUACCUCCUGGCUCUAGAGGGUAGCUCUGGACCCACGCUCACUGAUUUAGGACACAAGGGUGGGUAAGGCCCAUUUAUCCUUCCUGAGACCCAGGCCAGGACUAUGGGCAGUGAGCAAAGCUGAGUGAGUGCCAGGUUGAAGGCAAGGGCUGAAUUGCUAGAAAACCCGCUGAGGUGCGGAGGAAACCCCCGAAGUCUACCGGAAGUGUGAGUAGUCUUCCCCCGCCUGGCCUCAAAUACACCUAACCUGCCCUUCGACGUUCAGCUCAACUCCCUCCUCCUCCAGAAGCCUUCUCUGAAGUCCCACCCACUAGGAGCGGUUUCCAGUUCCUGUGAACAUCCACAUUUCACCGGGGCUCAUCCCAGGAGAUCUAGGGGGAAAAAAAAAAACCCAAACAACAAUGGUUCUCAAUCCUGGCUGCACGCUGGAAUUCACUGGAGAACUUUUCCUCUUCAAUGAAGGAGCGCCUGGGUAGCACAGCCAGUUAAGUGUCUGACUUCGGCUCAGGUCAUGAUCUCACAGCUUGUGAGUUUUUUGAGCCCCGCAUCGGGCUCUGUGCUGACAGCUCAGAGCCUGGAGCCUGCUUCGGAUUCUGGCUCUCCCUCUCUCUCUCAAAAACAAACAUUAAAAAAAAAAUGAUGAAAAUACUUAUGCCCAGGCCCAACUUCUGAAUAAUCGAAUCAGAGCUUCUGGGAUUGGCACCAGGGAAUCAGUAUUUUUAUUUCAUUUUUUAAGUUUGAGAGAGAGACAUAGUGAGCAGGGGAGGGCCAGAGAGAGUUGAGGGAGAAUCCCAAACAGACUCUGUGCUGUCAGCACGGAGCCCGACGUGGGCUCGAACUCAUGAACUGUGAGAUCAUGACCCAAGCCAAAACCAAGAGUCAGACGCUUACCUGAUGGAGCCACCCAGACGCCCGUGGGAAUCAGUAUUUUAAAAAUCAGCCAGGACUGGGGACCAGGGCUACUGCACCCUGAAAUCUGACUGUGGCCUUUUUGUCCCCCCCCCCCCCCCCCCCACUGCCAUCUAGCUGGGAGCUCCUCAGGGCAAAGCCCCAGCCCCAUGUAGCUCUGUUCUGGACACCAAGCCCGGGCUUCCCCAUCACCCGUGCUCAUCGGAUGCUUGCUGAGCGAUGGCACCCUCGACUGAAAAUCGCAAUAGCCCCCAGGUGGAUACGGGGCACGUUUUGCUUUGUCUUGUAAGGAGUCCUAUGUGUUCAUCCUCUGAUACAGGCAGCCUAAGAACACGGAUUCCAAAGAAAAUAAAUCCCCCACUCCCCUCACCCCGUGAACAUCCCAGGGGAGGAACAGGCUAUGCUGUUGGUUAUCUCCUGCUUUCAAUUAAGGAGGCUUCAGCCAGAUUCCUUGUGUGCCUCUGAGGCCCCAGCCUUGUAAAUGGCACACUUUCAAUUAUUUAUCUAAACAAAGGUGAGCCAGAGGGCAGCGCUAAACGCUUGUCUGGCGAACUUGAGCCCAACUCUGCGCCCUUGGAAUUCUCAAGCUUAUAGGACUUGGCUUUGCGACUCCAAUUUCCUUAACCCCCCCCCCCCCCAAAAAAAAGGAAGAAGAAGAAAGAAAAAAAUGGAAAAAAGGCACAUUAGCUACAAGGCCAUAAAUUCCAUUCCAGAGGUGAGAGGCGUGCCAGAGGGGAGCUGCGGGGACCCGAGCUCUGUGGCCGCUGCGAAUGCGAUUUCGUUGCUAGGCUGCUGAACUCAAAUAGUCGUAACUCACUGGCGAGGAGGUGGACCGCAGACUCCCUUCCAGUUUUGCGCUCUCUCCUGUCGGAGGACGCGUAACGUUCUACGCCACCGAUGAAUAAUAAAUCCCCUUAAAAAAGGAACAGAGACCAACGGCGAUCUGCAGAUCGAAGUGGAGGAAAGGCUGCCUCUCGCCUGUGAAGACAGGCUCCUGGCUCGUUGCCAGCAAGACGAGCGUUCUGAGCUGUUCUUUUUGGGGACGGGUCGGUGCCCCCUCCCUCUGAGGACCAGCCUGUGAUGUGCACAUGACACAGCCUGCUGUCCUGCGGGUACACUGGUGGCCGUGGGGGGAGCAGUGAGAACUGUCUCUGCGGAGAUCGAGCACCUUCGUGGGCCAUGAGACGUCAGCUACAGUGAAAGAGUGAUUCGAGAACAAAGUGGCUGGAAGUCAGGAUUCCUGGGCAUCGGCAGUAGAGACAGCAGCCAAUGUUUAUGGAGCACGCGACCAUCCUCUCGGUCCGCUAGCAGCAGGGAGAGGCGUUAUCCGGCCGUACAGAGGUCCACAGGGGUUAGGCGACUUGCUCUGGUCACACCACAAGGGACGGGGCUGGAAUCGGUACCAGAAUCGGCCGGACUCGAAAGCCUGGGUUCUGAAUCUCGCUGUUACACAACCGUCCCGGGUCCCAGGACAGACACUCGAAAAUGUUUCUGGAAUCCACUUCUCUCCGUCCCCGCUGCCAACUACCUUAGCUCAGACCUAAAAUCCCUCAGGCUUACCUUUUUUAUAGUCUCUUAAUUCAUCUUCCUGCUUCCAAUCUUUCCCACAUCCCAUCAAGCGCAAACAUUUUAAAGUGUGUGUAUUUUACGACCCUGUGCAAGAAUGUCCCUUGGCGCCCGGUGCAUACCGAUCCAGUCCGAUCCUUGGUGAGGCCCAAGUGGCCUCACCUCACCCUCUGUCUUUAUCAUUCCCCACCGUGAUCAGCCACACCAAAUGUCCUGCUCAGAAGAACCCUCUGUAAAAAUUCUCUGCCUCCUUCAGUUCGCCUGUUUAUGUGUUUGUCCUUCCGCCCAGACCGUGAGCUCCUAGGAGGCACGAGGCUGGUCUUGUCCAUCGUUGUAAUUUCCCCAGGAUCUGGCAGAAGGGAGAUGCUCACGGAUGUUACAAAGCUGACCCACUCACUGAUCGAAGGAACAGAAUCUCUAAGUUGGGGCAGUGGAGGGAGGGGGGAGAGGGGGAAGCAAAGAUCACUGAAUUUUUUUUUUUUUUUUAAUAAGCUUCAUCUCAAUGUGACUGGGUGCUAAGGACACAUCAACUCUCUUAAUUUUUUUAAUGUUUGUUCAUUUUUGAGAGACAGACACAGGGCAUGAGCGGAGGAGGGGCAGAGAGAGAGGGAGCCACAGAAUCUGAAGCAGGCUCCAGGCUCCGAGCUGUCAGCACAGAGCCCGACGCGGGGCUCGAACCCACGAGCCGUGAGAUCAUGACCCGAGCCGAAAUCGGAUGCUCAACCGACUGACCUACCCAGGUGCCCCGAUCACUGAAUUUCUGACAACUGACCAUACAUGCAUGGGGGUCUCAGUAUCAUCAGUCUUAACAGUUCCUAUGUUAUAGUGUCCUAGAUUUCGCUAAAUUUCGGGAAUAGCCACAAGAACCUAAGAAAUUAAAUUCUAGCUAAAAAUGUUGGACACUUCAGUCCAGACUUACUCCGCUCAAAAGUAUUUUCCUCAGGGACGCCUAGCUACUCACAGUAGCAUCUGAUCCUAGAACGUCUACCUUUCUCUUUGCUUGGCCAAAGCACAAUUUUCUCGCUUCAUCAAGAAUUCUCGUUGACUGCUGCUAUCCUCACUUGAUGAAAUAAAGAGCCCGCACCUGGGGAUUACCCGGAGUCUGCAGGGUCUUCCCGCCUUCCCCGUGAGAAGUGGAAGUUAGCCUGGGCAGAGGUUAGCUUCAAGGUUUAUCUCAACCUCCUCUGCUUUGACACCGUCCCUGGCUCUUAGAGCCAAGCAGCAAGUGACUUCCUCUCCCCCUGAACGUUCAUGGCACCUGUUCUGUGGGUCACUAGGGCCCUGUAAAAAGUCACAUGCAGCAAAUCACAGUGGACAGGGCACAGCGCUGGGACCGUCAUCCCAGUUGAAUUACAAAUGCAUCCUGGGGCCCCCGGUGGUGGACUCCCCUCGCCGGACCUCUGUUUACUCGGCUGCAAAAUGAGCGAGUUACACGAGUUGAAUUACAUGGCCUCCUUCCAGCUUUUUUUUCAGAUCUAUAACUCUAUGAAAAAGGCCAGAUACUUUGACACUAUUUGAAAGCUCCCUUGUGGGGUAGAAGGUGAAGGGUAAAAAGUAUAGAACUCGGGGUCACAAACGACUUAAGAGUUGAAAACAAUGAUUUGGAGACGUUCCUCAUUUUCCACAAGGCCACACGAUGGCAACCUCAAACGAAACACGCAACCAGGAGAUGGCCCAGCAGGGUAAGAGUUAGUGUCCAUUGGGCCUGAUGCCGUAGGUUGUAUUGACCAUGCCACGUUCAUCGUGAUAAAGAUGGGUGACCGCAAUCGUACGCAAACUCAGACUUCACACACACGGGAAAAGCGACUUAAAUGUGCCUUUCGGUCAUGAUCAACCAGGGUGAAUUCAAAACAUACCGCUGUGGGUGAGCCAAAUCCACAUCCCUUGAAACGCACGAAAUAGACGUACAAGUGGAUUCCUCUGGGGAUGAGCUUUGAGUUGUAAGGGACUUGGCAAGGGAAAGGGAGACCUGGAGAACCAGCAUUUUCUUAUUAAACUACAUAAUCCCGUAUCUUAAAAAAAUAAUUUAUAAAGACAUGUUAAAAUGAGAACAAGAUCACAUUCAAAGGAAGAGAUAAAGAUAGCAGAAAGUCAGGCUAAAGAGAGCUUCUACAGUGGAGCACUACGCUUGGAGCUGAUUUUCCUGGCCGUGGAGCCUAAAAAGGGACCUACGAGGAGUUAGUUCUAAUAUGUAUAGGUCUGUACAGAAGGUGGGAAAUUUACCAAAGGGAUGUUCAUCACUCAGAGUCCCAAGUGGAAACAGACGGUACAUUACAAUUAGGAUAGGAGCGCCAGGGUGGCUCGGUCGGUUAAGCGUCCGACUUUGGCUCAGAUCAGGAUCUCGUGGUUUCGUGAGUUCGAACCCCCCAUCUGGCUGUCCGCUGUUAGUGUAGAGCCUGCUUCGGAUCCUCGGUGCCCCCCCCCCCCCCCCCCGCUCAUGCUCGCUCACUCUCUCUCAAAAAAUAAACUUAAAGAAUAAAAUAAAAUCAGGAUAACCCAAAGAGGGAUUGCUUACAAAGAGGCUAAAGUACAAAUAUGUGGUCAGGGUGUAGGGAAACCAUAAGGCCAAGCGCAGGAACUCAGGGUUGGCCACAGAGGAGCUGUUGUCGCCCGUAGGGGGUUGAAUACUGGUCCUCCACCCAGGAACCUUAGAACGCGAUCUUAUUUGGAAACAAAAUCUCUACAGAUGUAAAUCGGGUAAUGAUAGAUCAUACUGGAUUGGGGUGGGCCCUCAUUUCAACGGUAGUGUCCUCAUAUGAGACAGAAAAUGAUACACAGAGACAGAGAAGGCAACCAUGUAAAGACGGAGGCAGGGAUUGGAGUGAUAUGUUUGCAAACCAAGGAAUACGAAACACUGUUGGCAAGCACCACAAGCUCUCAGAAGAGCACAGGCUAGCUUCUCCUUAAGAACCCGCAGAAGGAACCAGCCCUGAUGACACCUUUAUUUCAGACUUCUGGCCUCCUGAACCGUAAGAGAAUACAUUUCUGGUGUGCGAACCCACGCGGUUUCUGGUGAUUUGUCAUGGCGGCCCCAGGAAACUAAUAUACCCCUGCGCUUCCUAAAGGGAUGAAAAGAUGGCAAGGAACUGAGCCCAGUGGGAGACUGUGUACCAAGUGGGCCCCUGGGUGGGGCGGCGACCCUUCAGUGGCAGGAGAGCACCAGGCUGGGACAGCCUUGUAAGAAGGGAGCCGGAGGAAUAAAUGUCCCAGCCUCACCCUCUUUCUUCCAUCCCUCCCAUCUCCACCUGGGGCUUCUCACGGGUUAUACCUAACAGCUAUACCCAGAGGGUGUGAGAGGCCUGCAGACAUGGGCCACACAGGCCAGCCCCCGGGCACAGAGCGGGAGGUCACAGGGUGGACAGUGUAUCUGGAGCGGUGGACAAAACUGUAACUCAAGCUUCUCUCUUUGGCCCCUUUGUUCUCCGGUCUCUACACUCAGCCUUCAUGGUGGCUUUUGUUGUAACAGGGAUUCCAGGAUCCGCACCAUCAGCCCAGCCUCCCUCUCCAGCUCCAGUCCCAGCCCAGGAAAUCUUUACCAAGACAGCUCAUCAGCCCUUCAGAGUCAAAACAUUCGAGGAUCAACCGUAUCAUCUUCUUUCCAAAACCAACAUCCUCUUUGGAAUUCCUUAUCUUACCUCUCCAACCCAUUUAGGCUCAAACUCUCUGAUUCAUUCUCUUUGCCCCAAAAUAUCAAGGCUUGUUGGUUUUAAUAAAGACACUGU